rnacentral:ncRNA from 1 species
GGGCAGGACGAAGCCAGAGGAAACUCUGGUGGAGGUCCAUAGCAGUCCUGACAUGAAAAUUGGUCCUGUUUUACCU